rnacentral:ncRNA from 1 species
AAUAAAUUUUUUAUGGUUUAAAAUAUUUUAUUUUAAAUUUGUUUUACAUAUAAAUUUUAGUGUUAAAUAUUAAUUAUUUAAAAAAUAUUUAAUUUUUAUUAUAGUAAUUAAUUUUAAAAAUUUAAGAAAUUAAGAUUUAGUAAUAUUAAAAUUUAAUAACUAAUUUUGUGCCAGCAGUUGCGGUUAUACAAAAAUUAAUUUAAAAUUUUUUAGUUAUUAAUAAUUAUAAUAUAAAAAUAAUUUAAAUUUAAAAUUAUUAGGUGAAAUUUUAAUUUUAUAAAAAAUUAUUUUAUAAUUAAAAAUUAAUAAAUUUUAUUAAAAACUAGGAUUAGAUACCCUAUUAUUAAAAAUUUAAAUUUAUAAUACUAAAAUAGUAAGUAUUUAAUGAAACUUAAAUAAUUUGGCGGUAUUUUAGUAUAUUUAGAGGAAUCUGUUUAGUAAUUGAUAUUCCACGAAUAAAUUUACUUAAUUUAAAAUUUUGUAUAUCGUUGUUAAAAAAAUAUUUUAUAAUAAUAAUAAUAUUUAAGAAUUUUUAUAAAAAAUUAAAUCAGAUCAAGAUGCAGAUUAUAAUUAAGUUAAUAAUGGAUUACAAUAAAUUUAUUUAAUUGGAUUAAAAUAUGGAAAGAUUAUAUGAAAUUGGAUUUAAAUGUAAUUUUAUUUAAAUUAAUAAAAUGAUUAUUAAUUAAAAUAUGUACAUAUUGCCCGUCGCUUUCAUUUAUAAAUUGGAAUAAGUCGUAACAAAGUAGAGAUACUGGAAAGUGUUUCUAGAAAGAU